UGAUGACUUGAGGUGUUUUCAGUGUUGAGGU
rnacentral:piRNA from 1 species